rnacentral:rRNA from 1 species
UACGGAGGAUCCAAGCGUUAUCCGGAUUUAUUGGGUUUAAAGGGUGCGUAGGCGGCCUAUUAAGUCAGGGGUGAAAGACGGUAGCUUAACUAUCGCAGUGCCUUUGAUACUGAUGGGCUUGAAUGUACUAGAGGUAGGCGGAAUGUGACAAGUAGCGGUGAAAUGCAUAGAUAUGUCGCAGAACACCAAUGGCGAAGGCAGCGUACUAUGGUAUUAUUGACGCUGAGGCGCGAAAGCGUGGGGAGCAAACAGG